AACCAUAUACUACAAUGUGGCUAGUUUCAACAUUGUUUGUCAAAUGGCAUUUGUCUUUUAGACAUUUCCCAUUUCAGUUCAAGAACAUAUACAUGCAACGUGAUGUUAUGAAAUUGUAACAUCCCUGAAUGAUAUGAACAUGUUGCCACUAUUUGAGUGUACUCAGCGAAUAUUGAGAUUGACUUAGAUAGUGACAUGUAUGGCAACGAUGUUCUUUUGUCAUUUGUAUAA
rnacentral:rRNA from 1 species